rnacentral:rRNA from 1 species
UAGGGAAUCUUCGGCAAUGGGGGGAACCCUGACCGAGCAACGCCGCGUGAGUGAAGAAGGUUUUCGGAUCGUAAAGCUCUGUUGUUAAGGAAGAACGAGUGUGAGAAUGGAAAGUUCAUGCUGUGACGGUACUUAACCAGAAAGGGACGGCUAACUACGUGCCAGCAGCCGCGGUAAUACGUAGGUCCCGAGCGUUGUCCGGAUUUAUUGGGCGUAAAGCGAGCGCAGGCGGUUAGAAAAGUCUGAAGUGAAAGGCAGUGGCUCAACCAUUGUAGGCUUUUGGAACUGUUUAACUUGAGUGCAGAAGGGGAGAGGUGAAUUCCAUGUGUAACGGUGAAAUGCGGAGAUAUAUGGAGGAACACCGGUGGCGAAAGCGGCUCUCUGGUCUGUAACUGACGCUGAGGCUCGAAAGCGUGGGGAGCGAACAGG